GAGCUGGGCAUCCGGCCUGAGGCGCAGCGGUCGCGUUAGUUCGGCCCAAUGGCGGCACCGCUGCUUCACACGUUGUUUGUCGGGAGAUGCGGCCGCUUCGUCCUCUGCAGUCAAGACGCUGGGCGCGUCGAGGACUGGCUUCUACUUGAAUGAAGACAAAAAUCUAGGCCGGGCGCGGUUGCUCACGCCUGUAAUCCCAGCACUUUGGGAGGCCGAGGUGGGCGGAUCACCUGAAGUCAGGAGUUCGAGACCAGCCUGGCCAACAUGCGAAACCUCGUCUCUACUGAAAAUAUAAAAAUUAGCCAGGCGUGGUGGCAGGUGCCUGUAAUCCCAGCUACUCAGGAGGCUGAGGCAGGAGAAUUGCUUGAACCCGGAGAUGGAGGUUGCAGUUAAGCUGAGAUCACACCACUGCACUCCAGCCUGGGCAGCAGAGCAAGACUCCAUCUCAAAAAAAAAAAAAAAUCCAGCCACGUAGAGAUUUGGGAAAAGAGUAUUUCCAAUAGAGUGAACAGUAAGUGAAAUGAGAAACAGGAUUUCAAAUAUGCGUGCAUUAGAGAAUGAUUUUUUCAAUUCUCCCCCAAGAAAAACUGUUCGGUUUGGUGGAACUGUGACAGAAGUCUUGCUGAAGUACA
rnacentral:lncRNA from 10 species